GACGAACGCUGGCGGCGUGCUUAACACAUGCAAGUCGAACGAAGAGCGAUGGAAGCUUGCUUCUAUCAAUCUUAGUGGCGCACGGGUGAGUAACGCGUAAUCAACCUGCCCUUCAGAGGGGGACAACAGUUGGAAACGACUGCUAAUACCGCAUACGAUCUAAUCUCGGCAUCGAGGAUAGAUGAAAGGUGGCCUCUACAUGUAAGCUAUCACUGAAGGAGGGGAUUGCGUCUGAUUAGCUAGUUGGAGGGGUAACGGCCCACCAAGGCGAUGAUCAGUAGCCGGUCUGAGAGGAUGAACGGCCACAUUGGGACUGAGACACGGCCCAGACUCCUACGGGAGGCAGCAGUGGGGAAUCUUCCGCAAUGGACGAAAGUCUGACGGAGCAACGCCGCGUGAGUGAUGACGGCCUUCGGGUUGUAAAGCUCUGUUAAUCGGGACGAAAGGCCUUCUUGCGAAUAGUGAGAAGGAUUGACGGGACCGGAAUAGAAAGCCACGGCUAACUACGU
rnacentral:rRNA from 1 species